AAGUCGUAACAAGGUUUCCGUAGGUGAACCUGCGGAAGGAUCAUUAUUGAAUAAAUCUGGCGUUGGUUGUAGCUGGCUCUCCGGAGCAUGUGCACACCUCGUCACCUUUAUCUUUCCACCUGUGCACACACUGUAGUCCUGGAUACCUCUCGCUGCAAAGCGGAUGCGGGGCUUGCUGCUGCUUAUCGGCUCAGCUUGCUCUGAAUUUCCAGGUCUAUGAUUUUUUCAUACACCCCAAACGAAUGUUAUAGAAUGUCAUAUCAUUGGGCCUUGUGCCUAUAAACCUUAUACAACUUUCAACAACGGAUCUCUUGGCUCUC
rnacentral:misc_RNA from 1 species